GGAUGAGGUAGGGAAGAAAUGGGCAAUAAAUACACUUUUUAGCAAAGGAAUCAGCAGCUGGAGAUGACACAGUAGAGAACUAAACACAGAAAAUGGGAACAGUUGCAGUCCUGCAGGGAAGUUGGCUUGGAUUCUGUGGUGGAAAGUGCUAGCACAAUGCCAACACUGCUGUGGGAUUUGUAGAAUCUUCUCUAGAUAAUUGUAGCAGAUUCAGACCAACCUAUUUGCAGCCCAUAUAAUUGAGAGUGAGCAGCAGAGAACCUUCUUGGUUUUCAGGCACUGAUCCCUUAACCAAGCUACCCGCCACCACCGACGUGGUACAUCUGUUGGUCUGUUUGGGGAGAAAAUAUGGUCUCAAAUGCAUCUCCAGUCUGGGGUGCUGGACCCAAAGGCUCAAUCCUCCAGCCAAAGCAUUGUUGAGGGGGCAGGAAGAAGCUCUUUGGAUUUGGCCAAAUCAGUAAAGAAAGCAAUGAAAGAAACACUAAUGCUUCACCUGCCAGGAGAAGGUUUACUACAGCUGCUCAAAGAAAAUAGACCCAGAAUAAGAAAAUGUCCACUUGGAUUUAGGAAACUAGCAAAUUCAUUCAGAACUGGUCGUGACUCCUGCAUCCUUACAAAGAAAGGUAAAUCACCACGGGUGGUGAUUCUCAAAUGGGAGGCAGUAUCUGGAGAAAUUUUGGCUGUCAUAGAAGGGGAGAGAACCAUUACAGGUGGCGGAGGAGCUUAA
rnacentral:lncRNA from 1 species